rnacentral:misc_RNA from 1 species
AAGUCGUAACAAGGUAACCGUAGGUGAACCUGCGGUUGGAUCAUUAAAAAUUAGGCAGUAACAGUUCCAGAGUCCCCUUUGGUUGAUUCGGGCUGUUCUGCUUUAAACACUUGUGAACUUUGCUGUACUUUGGGUUGCUACUCUGCGGUAGUAACCCAACCAAUGGUUAACACUUUAAAAUUGCCUGAAACUAAGAAAUCUUAAAGCAAAAACUUUUGACAACGGAUCUCUUGGCUCUC